UGGGGAAUUUUGCGCAAUGGGCGAAAGCCUGACGCAGCAACGCCGCGUGGAGGAUGAAGAUCUUCGGAUUGUAAACUUCUGUUGAUCGGGAAGAAAAGUCAAUGAUUAAUACCCAUUGUAAUGACGUUACCGAUAAAGAAAGCACCGGCUAAUCUCGUGCCAGCAGCCGCGGUAAUACGAGAGGUGCAGGCGUUUUUCGGAAUUAUUGGGCGUAAAGGGCGCGUAGGCGGGGUGGUAAGUUUUUGGUUU
rnacentral:rRNA from 1 species